GCGGACGUGGUGAAACUGGUAGACACAAGAGACUUAAAAUCUCUCGCCUUCAAGGGCUUACGGGUUCGAUCCCCGUCGUCCGCACCA
rnacentral:tRNA from 1 species